rnacentral:rRNA from 1 species
GAUGAACGCUGGCGGCGUGCCUAAUACAUGCAAGUCGAACGGAAGGACGAGAAGCUUUCUUCUCUUAGGUUGGCGUCGGGCGGAGGAGUAACACGUACAUCGCCAGCGUAUAAUACUUGGAUAAGUUCGUAGAACCGGAUCUAGUACCUAAUUAUAGUUUGGACCGCAUGGUUCAAAAUUGAGUGGCACUCUUCCUGUCACUGGUAGGUGAUGCCGCGCUGGAUUAUCUAGUUGUUGAGGUAACGGCUUACCAACACGACGAUGCAUAGACGACCGGAGGGGGUGAUCGGCCACACUGGCACUGAGACACGGUCCAGACUCCUACGGGAGGCAGCAGUAGGGAAUCUUAGGAAAUGGGCGAAAGCCUGAUGCAGAAACGCCGAGUGCGUGAUGAAGGUCUUCGGCUUGUAAAACUCUGUUCUUAGGGAAGACCAUAAGUGGACGUAACUGUACAGGUGUUGACGGUACCUAAUGAAGAAGCACCGGCUAACUACGUG